rnacentral:rRNA from 1 species
AAUUUCUGGCUUGAAACAUUUGGCCGGCCACGGUUUCGUGUGUUAGUGCUUUGUGUUCUGGCCAUCCUUCCAAUCGCUGUGCGCCUUUCUUCAUUGAUUGGUGUGCGGUAUUGGAUCUUUUACUUUGAAAAAAUUAGAGUGUUUCAAGCAGGCUUUAUGCUAUGAAUACAUUAGCAUGGAAUAAUAAUUUAGGACUUCGGUUCUAUUUUGUUGGUUUCUAGGACUGAAGUAAUGAUUGAUAGGGACAGUUGGGGGUGCUAGUAUUCAGCGGCCAGAGGUGAAAUUCUUGGAUUCGCUGAAGACUAACUUAUGCGAAAGCAUU